rnacentral:rRNA from 1 species
UACGGAGGGUGCAAACGUUGCUCGGAAUCAUUGGGCGUAAAGCGCACGUAGGCGGCCGAUUAAGUCGGAUGUGAAAGCCCUGGGCUCAACCCAGGAAGUGCAUUCGAAACUGAUCGGCUUGAAUAUGGAAGAGGGUCGCGGAAUUCCCGGUGUAGAGGUGAAAUUCGUAGAUAUCGGGAGGAACACCAGUGGCGAAGGCGGCGACCUGGGCCAAUAUUGACGCUGAGGCGCGAAAGCUAGGGGAGCAAACAGG